rnacentral:rRNA from 1 species
CCUACGGGCGGCUGCAGUGGGGAAUUUUGGACAAUGGGGGCAACCCUGAUCCAGCCAUGCCGCGUGAGUGAAGAAGGCCUUCGGGUUGUAAAGCUCUUUCGGCCGGGAAGAAAUCGCUCAAGCUAAUACCUUGGGUGGAUGACGGUACCGGAAGAAGAAGCACCGGCUAACUACGUGCCAGCAGCCGCGGUAAUACGUAGGGUGCUACCGUUAAUCGGGCUUACUGGGCGGGAGGCAGGAGCCGGCUGCGAAAUCCCCGGGCUUAACCUGGGAACUGCGUUUGUGACUGUGGUGCUCGAGUGCGGCAGAGGGGGGUGGAAUUCCACGUGUAGCAGUGAAAUGCGUAGAGAUGUGGAGGAACACCGAUGGCGAAGGCAGCCCCCUGGGUCGACACUGACGCUCAUGCACGAAAGCGUGGGGAGCAAACAGGAUUAGAUACCCGAGUAGUC